GACGGACGCUGGCGGCGUGCUUAACACAUGCAAGUCGAACGAUGACGACCGAGCUUGCUCGGUCUGAUUAGUGGCGAACGGGUGAGUAACACGUGAGCAACCUGCCCUUCACUCUGGGAUAACCUCGGGAAAUCGGGGCUAAUACCGGAUAUGAGCUCCUGUCGCAUGGCGGGUGUUGGAAAGUUUUUCGGUGAAGGAUGGGCUCGCGGCCUAUCAGUUUGUUGGUGAGGUAGUGGCUCACCAAGGCGAUGACGGGUAGCCGGCCUGAGAGGGCGACCGGCCACACUGGGACUGAGACACGGCCCAGACUCCUACGGGAGGCAGCAGUGGGGAAUAUUGCACAAUGGGCGAAAGCCUGAUGCAGCGACGCCGCGUGAGGGAUGACGGCCUUCGGGUUGUAAACCUCUUUCAGCAGGGAAGAAGCGAAAGUGACGGUACCUGCAGAAGAAGCGCCGGCUAACUACGUG
rnacentral:rRNA from 1 species